AGUGCUGCAAGGAUGUGAGCAGCAGUUUCCCUUCAACGAACGGGUCAAAUUCAUGGAAGCCACGUGCCUGCUGCUUCUGGCCUACACAAACAUGCAGCCACCAUAAUAAAGUUCUUGCAAAGACAUUCUACACGAACUUGCCCAAAGGCGGAAGGAAAACACGCACAGAUGGACGCACAGAAAUCAUGGGGCUGCCGAAGAAGCUGUGAAUGAGCAUUAACCUACGUACAAAAAGGAGCGAAGUGGAGAUGUCCAUGGGCCGUGCACACAGUUUCAUAAGCAAGCUUGCAACUCUUUUGACAAAUAUGUUCCUGAAUACAUCUG